rnacentral:rRNA from 1 species
AAGCUCUUGCUGCCAGACUUGACCCGGUUGCUCAGCCGUUCUUUUGGGCGGUGUAUUCUUCCGUGGGCAGGCCAGCAUCAGUUCGGGCGGCCGGAUAAAGGCUUCAGGAAUGUGGCCCUUCGGGGUGUUAUAGCCUGUCGCGUCAUGCGGUCCGCCUGGACUGAGGACAGCGUUUUCGAGGAUGCUGGCGUAAUGGCAGCAAGCGA